ACCGUGUUUUAAGACCGUGUUUUAAGACCGUGGGUAAGAUACAUUGCGCCAUCUUGUGGAAUACAUUGUGUAACGCAGUUGAGGUAUGUCCCUGACCUUCUAGUUUUUGCACAGUUAUCAGUAAAGAAUAUACAUAUAAAGAUAGUAAACAUGGAAAAAUAAUAAAGAAAUAUAUAAUAAAAAAUAAAAUUAUAAUAUGCAACUUCUAGUAUACAUUAGAAGUUGUAGUGUUGGAUUAUGGCAAGAAAAUAAAUCCUGAUUAAAAUGUCCAUUAUUAUGGUGCUCUGGAAUGCUUGAUUCUGAUUGGCCAGCUGUUGUGCAUGUCAAACUCCGCUACUCCACUGUUUUCCUUCUUACAUAAUAACAUAAUUUCACCUCAAAUCAAUGUUUCAUGUCCAUUUAUUUAUUUGGCAAGGAGACGGAAGGAAGCAGCAGGAUAAUGUGCAGUCAACUUUUUCAAGGCCAUACAAGACAACUUGGAGUCUGGGAACAUUUAGUGAUAAUGAGCUGACGAAAGGGCAUUAUCCCAUCACUUAUAUCUUCGGUUCAGUUCAGUCAUAUAUUGUGAAGAUAAAAAAGGAAGAAUCGAAGAUAUCUUCCUUUAUUAAGUUCCAAUGGACUUAGGAUAAUACCUAACAUGAUAUAAAAUGAUCUAGUCUGUAAUUAUCGUGCUUGUUUGUUUGAUGGUUUUUAAUGUAACACGCUUCCUAAAAUUGCUGGUUAUUGCGGUAUAUUUAUGAAAUGUAAAUGUGUUUCAACAGGAAAAAAAUAUUUUUGAAAAUUCAAUUAACAUUUUUUGGUAUGCAUGCCGAACUCACAAAUUUAAGAGUCUGACGAAACCUUCACGGAAUUAACUAUUGAAUCACAUUUGUGUGACCUAGAAAUAGCCUAUUCUCUUUCUAUAUGCUGUAUGACCAAAAAAAAGCGUUUAUUUUUCAUAUAAUAGAGAUUGUUCAUCUCUAGGGUGGUCUGUCAUGAAAAAGUUUGGGAAACCCCUCUGUUAGAAAUCUUUAUCUAUAGUAUUAGUGAAAGCAGUCCUUCCACUAGGUGGCGAUAUUGUAUUUAAAAACACAGCGAGGCGCAACCUGUGUCUGCGUGCGUUGCAGUAACCUAUUUUACCCAGUUUACAAACAAACAUUGAAGCAAGGAUAGCACAGACUAAGUAUGCCCGUGAAUAGAAACGGAAAGAAUUUCCCAGCUUCAAAUUCAGUCAUAUAGAUGGCCAUGACUGAACAGACAGAGAGAAAUGCAAAAACAACACGGAUUAAUGCGCUGUUGAGCGGCUUCGCUGUCCUGUCUUUGCAAUGAAACUGAAACGUUAUCAGUCUAUGUGGACUCCGGACGCACAUGCUGAAUUCUGACCCGAUUUACCCCACAAGAGCAAGUUCAUCACCAUGCGUUCUUACUCUCCUGUGGAGUAACCGAGUCUGGUAUAGAGGAGGAAGCUUCUGUCUGUUAAUACUGUGCAUUUAUGCCAGUUUUCAUUUUAAAGAACGCACUCCGAUUUGGAUUUAAUGAUUUUAAUAUCCAUAAUAUUGACGCUCGCAGCCUGCAGUCCGAAAAGGGAAGUGUGAGGUGGCUGUACAUCAUGGCUGACCAUCUGGAGUGUCUCAACCACACUUUGUACAGAAAUACGCCCUAGCUUCUUAUCCAUACAUCAUAAAACCCUAUAAACUGCUUAACAAGGGAAUAUAACCUUGGUAUCUCACCAUCUUUGCAUCUCUUCCCCUCACUGCUUUCCAACCAAUGCUACAUUAUUUAUAUCAUGGGAUGCAUGAAAUCCAAGCACCGCGACUCCACUCAGAACUCCAGCUCAUCGGAGAAAGUGGAUGGCAAGCCAGCAGAGCAAGGAGAGAAAGCAGUUCUAGUUUUCUCAGAGAUUGGCUCCAUGGAGGACCCGGUACGGGUCAGUCCGGUGCUGCUGGACUAUGCCCAGAGACUCUCGGAGGAAAUUGUGGCCAGGGCAGUACAACAAUGGGCUGAGGUGGACAGCCGGUACAGUGACAUCCCCUACAUUGAGUGUGAUGUGCCAUAACGUUUCAACUGGAUGGAAUAAGGCUGGAUUGGCCUGGCUUACACCCCUCCUGUUUGUAAAGGAAAGCUUUCAGAUAACUUCAGGCCAGAGGAGCAUCAUGUCAUUUUGGGAAGCUAUUCUUUUGAUCUCUGAAAACUGUUUUAUUUUUUAUAGACCCAUUAAGGAUUCACAUUAAAUAUUCAGCCAUUUUAUGUUUUUACACAUUAAAAUUAACAUUUAGAGGCCUGUUUUCUUAACUAAGAGCUGUUUUACCACAAGACUGCGUCUCUUGUUUACCCCUAAAGCCCAGUGGUUUAAUUGGUCCAAAGGCCACAGUCAUCCCAACCAUGUUUAGUACAUACUUCAUCUUUUUGCCUUUAAUAUUUUCAUGUUCAUGUGGCUCAGCACAUCAGACAGUACCUCCUUUUUACUUUCCAUCCAUCCAUUGGUUUUGGUCACAUUAGUGAAUUUUCAUUGGCAAAAAAAGGUCCAUUGGCAAUAGUGUAGUGAUGACUUUCAAACCAAGAAUUUUUGUUGGUCAGCACUGAGAAUUCAAGUGACCUACUUGAACCCAUAGCAAAAUCUGUGUGGGGAAAUCUUUCAACCUUGAUACAAAAAAUCCUAAACGUGGAUUCCUAUCGAAAGGACUGGAUUUUGCCUGUGAAAAAUCUUUGAAAAAUGGUAAAUGUGACUGCACAUUUAAAGGACGCCUGCUCAGGGUUAUGGUUUCUAUUUAAGGGGCAAGUGCUGGCUUCUAUGGAUUAAUAAGUGUACAUUACUUCACUGCUAUUUUUUUUUUUUGACAUGACAGCUCUGUCAACUGUAAUUCCGGGUACAAACAGCCUUGUCGAUAUUAUGGCCAGAUGUUGUUUAUACAUGAUACAUUCCAUGGACUCUUAAAUUUAGAGGUUACAAAUCAUCCUUCAUUCACAUGAUGCCAUGAAAGAAUACAUUCAAAAGAGAAGGAUUCCCAAAUUAAGCCAUUAAACUAUUUUGUUAAUAGAAGAUUUUCUUCUGUGGAGCUCAGAUAUACAAUUCUUAAAGACCAAGACAUUAUAAAAACAAACUUAGCGCUACCAGGUUGCCAAACCCCUCACUUAAAGACAAAAUUCAGACAGGGGAGCAAAUAUGCCAAUGUCCUUAAUGAUUCUUAAUGCAAGCACAAUAACUCUUCUAAUAGUGUCUCAACAGCUGCUCACCAAUGCUUUUUAUUGAUGUGAUAUUGGCACUUCUGGGUCUUGUGCCAUGCUGUCAGGUAGACAUAUAUACUCCCUUUAAUGAUCUCCAGCACAAUACAGUGCAACAGUGGGGUUCUGGAAGGAAAAGUCACAUUUGUUUUAUCCAUAGAGAAAUAGAUUGUUAGUGGUAAUGCAUAAAUCUUUUAAGACAGACCUACCAUGAGCAUUGAUGUGGUUAAGAGAUGAUAUAAUCUCUAUCACAUAACUACUAAAAAGAAAUACUUAAUUUUAAAGGUCACCCUUUCCCAUAGAGCAUCAGAUUUCUCAAAUAAUUUCUAUAUUCAUGCAUAUCAGAAUGUUUUGCAAUUAACUUUAUUUUAUACUUAUAUUUAUUUUUUAAUAUUUAUUUAAUAUCAUCAAUCAAAGGCUAAUGAAGCUGUUUUUUUUUUUUAAUGGCUUUAAACUCUUAACUGAAGAAUUUUUCCGAAUACCUAUGGAGAAAACAAAUGAGAAAACUACUUCCAGAACCUAGGCCACAGAUGACAUGGGUAGUCACUGUUAUGGCCUGUUACAAAGACAAUUAGGCAAGAACUGCACUUUGACCAUUAUACUUCUGCAUAGAAAGUCAUAAAUGCAUAGUGAAAUCUUAAGAUAUGAAAGAAGGACUUAAAGUUGUAUUUUAUGAGGCCUUUCAGCACACUAUGUUAUGUGCUCAGAGUAGAACCUCAGAAUAUCUCAACAUCUAAAGGACCUAUCAGCACAUGAGUCACUGGUGUUCAUUACUCUCAUAGGCUUCCAUUCGUAGGCCAAACGUUUGUAAUUACCUAGAACAAAAAAGUGCAAAACCAGUGUAAAUAAACCGCAAUCUCAGACUAUUUUUGUACCAGCGUGUACUGUCAAGCUGAUUUCUCCUAGGAUCUCCAGUCCUCUCACAGAUGUUUGAUGAGUUGCUGAUGAUUCUGACCAAAAUUGUUGUAUUUCAUAUAUAUCAGUGUAUAUUUCAGACAUAAGUGAUUUACCUGUAGUCUGAGCAAUCUCAGUUCUGUAAUUUAAAGAAAAGGGAAAAACACUGCUACACCAAUAAACCAACCAUGGCCUUUGUCAAUA